rnacentral:tRNA from 1 species
GCGCCUGUAGCUCAGCUGGAUAGAGCGACGGACUUCGAAUCCGCAGGUCGGGGGUUCGAAUCCCUCCAGGCGUGCCA